rnacentral:tRNA from 1 species
UGCCUUGUAGUGUAAUGGUAACACAUGAGACUUUGAAUCUCAUAUUCUCGGUUCGAACCCGAGCGAGGCAUCCA